rnacentral:rRNA from 1 species
GGCCUAACACAUGCAAGUCKGACGGUAGCACAGAGGAGCUUGCUCCUYGGGUGACGAGUGGCGGACGGGUGAGUAAUGUCUGGGGAWCUGCCYGAURGAGGGGGAUAACYACUGGAAACGGURGCUAAUACCGCAUAACGUCGCAAGACCAAAGAGGGGGACCUUCGGGCCUCUYRCYAUCAGAUGWGCCCAGAUGGGAUUAGCUAGUAGGYGGGGUAAYGGCYCACCUAGGCGACGAUCCCUAGCUGGUCUGAGAGGAUGACCAGCCACACUGGAACUGAGACACGGUCCAGACUCCUACGGGAGGCAGCAGUGGGGAAUAUUGCACAAUGGGCGCAAGCCUGAUGCAGCCAUGCCGCGUGUAUGAAGAAGGCCUUCGGGUUGUAAAGUACUUUCAGCGGGGAGGAAGGYGWUGKGGUUAAUAACCWYAKCRAUUGACGUUACCCGCAGAAGAAGCACCGGCUAACUCCGUGCCAGCAGCCGCGGUAAUACGGAGGGUGCAAGCGUUAAUCGGAAUUACUGGGCGUAAAGCGCACGCAGGCGGUCUGUYAAGUCRGAUGUGAAAUCCCCGGGCUYAACCUGGGAACUGCAUUYGAAACUGGCAGGCUWGAGUCUUGUAGAGGGGGGUAGAAUUCCAGGUGUAGCGGUGAAAUGCGUAGAGAUCUGGAGGAAUACCGGUGGCGAAGGCGGCCCCCUGGACAAAGACUGACGCUCAGGUGCGAAAGCGUGGGGAGCAAACAGGAUU